rnacentral:rRNA from 1 species
AGAGUUUGAUCAUGGCUCAGAUUGAACGCUGGCGGCAGGCCUAACACAUGCAAGUCGAGCGGUAGCACAGAGAGCUUGCUCUCGGGUGACGAGCGGCGGACGGGUGAGUAAUGUCUGGGAAACUGCCUGAUGGAGGGGGAUAACUACUGGAAACGGUAGCUAAUACCGCAUAAUGUCGUAAGACCAAAGUGGGGGACCUUCGGGCCUCAUGCCAUCAGAUGUGCCCAGAUGGGAUUAGCUAGUAGGUGGGGUAACGGCUCACCUAGGCGACGAUCCCUAGCUGGUCUGAGAGGAUGACCAGCCACACUGGAACUGAGACACGGUCCAGACUCCUACGGGAGGCAGCAGUGGGGAAUAUUGCACAAUGGGCGCAAGCCUGAUGCAGCCAUGCCGCGUGUGUGAAGAAGGCCUUCGGGUUGUAAAGCACUUUCAGCGGGGAGGAAGGCGAUAAGGUUAAUAACCUUGUCGAUUGACGUUACCCGCAGAAGAAGCACCGGCUAACUCCGUGCCAGCAGCCGCGGUAAUACGGAGGGUGCAAGCGUUAAUCGGAAUUACUGGGCGUAAAGCGCACGCAGGCGGUCUGUCAAGUCGGAUGUGAAAUCCCCGGGCUCAACCUGGGAACUGCAUUCGAAACUGGCAGGCUAGAGUCUUGUAGAGGGGGGUAGAAUUCCAGGUGUAGCGGUGAAAUGCGUAGAGAUCUGGAGGAAUACCGGUGGCGAAGGCGGCCCCCUGGACAAAGACUGACGCUCAGGUGCGAAAGCGUGGGGAGCAAACAGGAUUAGAUACCCUGGUAGUCCACGCCGUAAACGAUGUCGAUUUGGAGGUUGUGCCCUUGAGGCGUGGCUUCCGGAGCUAACGCGUUAAAUCGACCGCCUGGGGAGUACGGCCGCAAGGUUAAAACUCAAAUGAAUUGACGGGGGCCCGCACAAGCGGUGGAGCAUGUGGUUUAAUUCGAUGCAACGCGAAGAACCUUACCUGGUCUUGACAUCCACAGAACUUUCCAGAGAUGGAUUGGUGCCUUCGGGAACUGUGAGACAGG